CGUUUCCACUGGUAGUUUGGAGCACCUGCCUGUGAGAUUCUCAGACAGAGAUUCUAGGGUAGGUUUUCAGCCGCUCCAGGCACGAAGAUUCUGAUGGUAAUAAUCCAUGGGAAUUCUUCAAGGGAGACUCCGCUCCAGGCACGAAGAUUCUGAUGGUAAUAAUCCAUGGGAAUUCUUCAAGGGAGACUCCGUGGUAACACUUCCUUAGUCCCCAAUCCUGGUUGAGUUGACUCGUUCGGCCUCAGCGGGAGAGGAUGUGUCUAGUCCUGAAGUGACUUGAUGUGACAGGCUUUCCGGUCCCUCUGCGGUCGUCAGUCUCACUUCUCACGCAGACCUGUGGAUCGGAGUGCUCUUCUACCCUGUCACCUGCCUGGGCAGCCCUCAGACAAUGAGCAGUUCUUCAUAGUG